ensembl:lncRNA
UGCAAGUUUUCUGUUUGAUAGAGAAGAGUGGCGUGGCGUGAACCUGCAGGCUGUUGCCAAGGGUUUGGACGACAUUCUGAAGCAGGCUGAGUCCAAUUCUAAUGAUGAUGACCUGACCUGUGGGUAUUGACACUUUUUUGAGUUCUGAGGGGCUCUUAAUGUAGAGCUUGGACAGAG